CCCUUAGAUGUUCUGGGCCGCACGCGCGCUACACUGACUGCUCCAACAAGUUACCUGGGCUGACAAGCAUCCGGGAAAUCCUGCAAAGGCAGUCGUGAUGGGGAUAGAUUCUUGUAAUUUUUGAUCUUCAACGAGGAAUUCCUAGUAAACGCAAGUCAUCAGCUUGCAUUGAUUACGUCCCUGCCCUUUGUACACACCGCCCGUCGCAUCUACCGAUUGAAUGGAGAGGCAAAAUCUUCGGACCGUGACGCUUGGGAGUCAAAUCUCGGGCUGUCGUGGGAAGUGGAUUAAACCUUUCUAUUUAGAGGAAGGUAAAGUCGUAACA
rnacentral:rRNA from 1 species